rnacentral:piRNA from 1 species
UAAUUUUACAGAGGCAAGCCCACACAAGGA